AUUGUUCUUAAUCCUCAAGGGAACGCAAGACAAUAGUCUAGUUCUCUCGAACAAUACGAGAACGCUACGAAAACGGUACAGUGUAAACGCUGCCUAAGGUGGCUACCUACUGUUUUUGAUAAGUGCAUGACAAGCAUCAAUAGUUGUUGAAAAGUAAAAGUAUCUGAUUUGUUGAAGAACAAUAUCUGUACUCGUGAAACUCAUUAAUAAUUCAUGAAGAAAACACAAACUAAAUCAUGACCGUGAUGGAGUUUGUAUAUGUGAUAUACACAUUACAUGUCAUGUGAUUUACAUAAACUUUUUAAAGUUUAAUUUUCUCACCAAAGAUCAUUCAUUUGAUUUUAAAUUGUUGAAGAAUACGAAUGUUAAUCUCAUCAUGAUCAAGACGUUUCACAAGCCGUUUUUCGGCAAGAGUAUAUAUAGUACAUAUUUAUAGCACAUAGACAUAGUACAUAUUUAUAGCUUAAUAAUAUACAUAAAGAUAUUACUCGACUGUGAUUGGUUGAUUUCAGUGCAGUUAAUCCCAAACAGCAGUGCAAUUUUCUGUAAUCACAGUGCAAUUUUCUGUAAUCACAGUGCAAUUUUCUGUAAUCACAGUGCAAAAAUCUGUAACAAACUCAUCUGAUUGGUGGAAAAACAUUGUGAUGAUUAAAUCAACCAAUCAGUUUAAAGCAAUAAAGUUUAAAGAAGUAACGGUCACAGAUUGCUUCAAAACAUUGAAAACAAAACAAACAUGGCGACGCGCUACAUAAAGUAAAAGUCGCCUUCGCGUUAACCUACCUUCGCGUGGAAAAUAUGGCUUUUAUCUUCAUUUUUAAAUGGAAAAGCAUUUAUACCUUAAACAAGACUAACAAAAAUUACAUAGUUGAGUGGAAUUUUCAAGAUGUUAGUGUUGUAUAAUGUGAUAUAACAAAGCCAGGAAAACUUUGCAGGUGGAAUGUUCGCUAUAAACGCGUAAGUUAAAACUACAAUUGUCUCGAACAUUUUUAUGUAAAUUAUUAAUAAGUAAUAUAUAGCUUUACAGCAUUUUUAGAAAAAUUGAAUAAUGAUUGCUUUCAAAC
rnacentral:lncRNA from 1 species